UUCUUGUCUCUAAAAGUAUAUCUAUUGGGACGAGUUAUAUUUCGGUCCUUAUUGAUAUAUUUUAUAGGGAAGGUAUUAAAUUCGGUCCCUAAAAAACAUACUAACUAGUCCCAAAAUGUAAUUAGAGGCAUUGAGGCUUGAGCGGGAGAUUUUUCCUCCAGAUGAAAUUUUUUUUUCUACAAAAAAUGUAGUGCACGGAAAAAAUAGUACAGAAAGGAAAAGGAACAAGACUUAAUCGCUUAUAAUCUCUUCAGCUCACCACACAAAAAAAAAACCUCUCCACUGAUAUUCUUCAACUCAUAAUUGAAACUCAAUGUGCUCUACCUAAUCUCAACCAUUCUCUGCCCUAAUCUGAACAAUGCUCUACCCAUAGAUCGAUAGAGGUGUCUUCUUUGAUGUGUUGUUAAUGUAUGCCCUAAUCUCAACAUCAGUCUUCGAUUAAAUCGACAAAGGUUUCUUCUUCUUCAUCGAUUUGUUGUUGCUCUGCUCAUAACAAAUUCCAUCGCAGCAGGUUUCUUCUUCUUCAUCAAUUUGUUGCUGCUGUGCUCGAAACAGAUUCCAUCACAGCUUUUUUGAGACAAAAUUUCAGCUUUGUUGAUGUUUUGGACAUUACUUGAAGUAAAUCAGAUUGCUUUUGAGAUUUUGAAGAAUAAAGUUUUACAAGUGAAGAUGCAAGUUUAGACGAUGAACAAGAACUUGAUAUAUCAUAGUCUAGCUCAGGAUAUAUUUCCUAAGUUUUUUUUAAGGUGUUGAGCAAAUAUUGAAACUAACAUCAAUUAUGGGAUGUUAACCAUUUUAUUGUAAUUAAUAACACUCUCUUCAUAUAUAUUAUCAUUUUAUAUCAAGAUUUUC